GACAGAGGCCCCGAGCGUUAGGCGGAAUCACUGGGCUUAAAGCGCGUGUAGGCGGAGGGCUAAGUACCUUGUGAAAUCCCCGGGCUCAACCCGGGAACUGCUUGGUAUACUGGUCCUCUUGAGGCAUCUAGGGGCGAACGGAACAAACGGUGGAGCGGUGAAAUGCGUAGAUAUCGUUUGGAACGCCAACGGUGAAAACAGCUCGCUGGGGAUGUCCUGACGCUGAGACGCGAAAGCCAGGGGAGCGAACGGG
rnacentral:rRNA from 1 species